UAGUAGAAAUUGUGUUAUUGCCACAAUUUUUGCAGGCAUGUUCGGUUUUUAGCUGAUUUUUCUGUCUCUACUUAGUUGAGUGCCUUCUUUCCUUUUGACGAAGUUACGUUUGUUUUCUAUGAUUAACUCCCGUGGCGAUUUGGUUUAUUUGUCUCGUGAGGAUUAAACUAUGGAAAACGUUAGGCUAUUUACACGAUGUAAUCCAUCACCCUGUAGUUUUAACUGCGGUUCUUGUUACCAUAUAAAUAAAUUUAGCUGUGGCUUUUCCCUUGCUGUUCAUUUCCAGACCUUGCAGCAUGUGUUAGUGGGAUCCAUCAAUUACUAAAUUCCACCGCCGUGGCCCAUCUUCUAGUUAACUACCACUGACGAGCUAUUAACUUGACAACAAGAGAAGAAACAAAGUUCAUCUAACCAGAACUCGCCUUUCCACUUUCUUCUGCGGGAACUCCGGCGGAUUGUGCUUCUCUGGGACUCUCCAAAGCGCUCUUUCCCACGAUAGCAGAUCGGGUACUUCUCCAGUCGAAUGAGUAGUCAUAAAGUAUUGACGACUAUGUCCUUUUAGAGUUUCCUAAGAUAAUGCUAAGGUGCUCUUAGCUCGUCAUAUCCUGCUAGUGCUAUAGUAUGUGUACAGUGUACUGAUUUUGGAACCUGAUAACCUCAUAUGCUCUGUGCCUUUUCUUACACGAUUUCUCUAUUACCUGAAAUCCUCGUCAAAUAUGAACCUAUACUUUCAAUGACAUGUUCAAAUAUUGUACAUUAGCGAGUAAAUAAUCCUUUGCUGGUAUAAACGGAUUGCAUCCUUUAAUAAAAAUCUUUUGCUUCAAGGUAUGAUUUUACAGUGACUUGCUCAUGCAUGUUUUAUUUCUUCAAACAGAUGGUUAGUGGCAUUAACAUGGUAGCAAUUGUGGAUAUCACAUGUCAGUAACAGUUUUCCCUUUUUAUCUUUUAGUAAUUGUCGUAUUUUUCCGAUAUAUGAUAUAAUCUGACCUUUUUUGAGAAAGAAAUUCAUGUAACCCUCUCAACUUGUUGUCACUUUGAGUUGAACUUAGUGUUCAAAGUGAAGUUUCCCAGUUUAAGGAGAGCUAACAUGUCAAGAAAAUUUGUUUAUCAUGAAAUGGUGCAAAAGUUGUAAUUUUGUGGGAAAGAGGUUCAUCAGGAGUUUCAUAUGGUGAGUGCAAGACGAAUCAUUCCAUGUCGCAGCUGGACCCUCUUUAGUAAUUCAGCUGAGAUAUUAGCAUUCAUUUUUGACUGCGAGGUAUUGCAUAGUUUACUUCGGCACAGUGGCUGGUGCUCGUGAAGCCUUUUUCCAUGGGGUGCCUUCUAUCUCGUUGUCGUAUGAUCGGCAAGAUGAAACUUAGUUUUCAGUGGCAGUACGCUUAUCAGAACUUGGGUUGGAGGUAGGAGUAAUAUCCAGGGCUUCACACUGUCCGCUGAAGCCUGCAUACCGAUUAUCAGUGCUAUAUCAGCUGAAAUAAAGAGGAACAAUUAUCCCAAAAAACUUUUCUUGAAUAUAGAUGUGCUGACAAAUGUUUCUUACCACAAGGUAAAGCUAAAAGUACAGAGGCAUGAACCACAGUUAAUUUUUGGCUAGAGAAUGUCGUUGUUGGUGGAGUAGAAAUUUGGCAAAACUGCAUAGCAAGGAAAGCAUAUUCAAUGCCUUUGAUCUCUUGAUGUGGUUCAGUGAAAUAGGUCUGCAUCAUCUUUCUGUUUUUGCUGAUAUAGCACUUUCAGAGGCAGUAGCUCUCUCGUUAUUGUGUGUUUUCAAGGUAGACUUUCCUCUCUUAAUAUAUUUCUCUGCAUCUACCUACACUUAGUUUGGUUUGGAGGCCUAUGAGGCUUAAACAUUUUUAGUUUGAUGGUUCUAGCUCUUCUGAUGCCAAACCAAACUAAAAAUGACAUGGACGUCUACGGGGGACAUGUUGUUCAGAUGCUGCUGCCUGUAUGGACAGAAGGACAACCAA